rnacentral:rRNA from 1 species
AGGAUGAACGCUGGCGGCGUGCUUAACACAUGCAAGUCGAACGAUGACGGCUGGAGCUUGCUCUGGCUGGAUUAGUGGCGAACGGGUGAGUAACACGUGAGUAACCUGCCCCAGACUCUGGGAUAAGCGCUGGAAACGGCGUCUAAUACCGGAUACGAGCUUCCACCGCAUGGUGAGGUAGCUGGAAAAGAAUUUUCGGUCUGGGAUGGACUCGCGGCCUAUCCAGCUUGUUGGUGAGGUAAUGGCUCACCAAGGCGACGGACGGGUAGCCGGCCUGGAGAGGGUCGACCGGCCACGAACUUGGGAACCGUGAGACACCGGCCCAGACCUCCCGUACGGGAGGACAGGCGAGUAGGGGUAAUUAGUUCGAC